rnacentral:tRNA from 1 species
GAGGGUAUAGCUCAAGUGGUAGAGCACAUGCUUAACAUGCAUGAGGUCCUGGGUUCAAUCCCCAGUACCUAUG